AAAUAUUCAUGUGCUAUAGCCCACGCCUUCCGAGUGGGUCCGGGCCCCCAGACCCCGAUCGCCUAAAAAUUUUUCAAGCCAUCAAAUACGACCUAAGGAACCAUAGUCACGGCCACGCCAUGUUCGUUCCUCGUUGUUUUGCGUUUUACGGCCAAAAAAUUAGAAUUUCGCCCGAUUCCCAUAUUUUCGUGUGCUAUAGCCCACGCCUUCCGAGUGGGUCCGGGCCCCCGGACCCCGAUCGCCUAAAAUUAUUUCGGACCAUCAAAUAUGACCUAAGGAACCAUAGCCACCGCCCCGCCAUGACGGUUCCUCGUUGUUUUGCGUUUUACGGCCAUAAAACUAGAAUUUCGCCCGAUUCCCAUAUUUUCGUGUGCUAUAGCCCACGCCUUCCGAGUGGGUCCGGGCCCCCGGACCCCGAUCGCCUAAAAUUAUUCUGGACCAUCAAAUACGACCUAAGGAACCAUAG
rnacentral:lncRNA from 1 species